AUACAGGGGGUGCGAGCGUUAAUCGGAAUUACUGGGCGUAACGAGUACGUAGGCGGUUGCUUAAGUCAGAUGUGAAAGACCCGGGCUUAACCUGGGAACUGCAUUUGAAACUGAGUGACUCGAGUUUAAGAGAGGGGAGUAGAAUUCCGGGUGUAGCGGUGAAAUGCGUAGAGAUCCGGAGGAAUACCAGUGGCGAAGGCGGCUCCCUGGCUUAAAACUGACGCUGAGGUACGAAAGCGUGGGUAGCAAACAGGAUUAGAAACCCCAGUAGUCC
rnacentral:rRNA from 1 species